UACAUGUGGUGCAAGCGUUGUUCGGAUUUACUGGGCUUAAAGGGUGCGUAGGCGGCUUUAUAAGUCAGGGGUGAAAGUCGAUGGCCCAACCAUCGAAGUGCCUUUGAUACUGUGAAGCUUGAGUGGGUGAGGGGCAGACGGAACGAGUGGUGUAGCGGUGAAAUGCGUAGAUAUCACUCGGAAGGCCGGAGGCGAAGGCGGUCUGCUGGUACCCAACUGACGCUGAGGCACGAAAGCGUGGGGAUCAAACAGG
rnacentral:rRNA from 1 species